CCUACGGGAGGCAGCAGUGGGGAAUAUUGGGCAAUGGAGGAAACUCUGACCCAGCAACGCCGCGUGAAUGAUGAAGGUCUUCGGAUUGUAAAGUUCUUUUCUAAGGGAAGAAGAAAGUGACGGUACCUUAGGAAUAAGCCUCGGCUAACUACGUGACAGCAGCCGCGGUAAUACGGAGGAGGCGAGCGUUAUCCGGAAUGACUGGGUGUAAAGGGUGCGUAGGUGGUUUGGCAAGUUAGUAGCGUACGUCGAAGGCUCAACCUUGGAACUACUACUAAAACUGUUGGACUUGAGUGCAGGGGGGGCAGCCGGAAUUCCUAGUGUAGCGGUGGAAUGCGUAGAUAUUAGGAGGAACACCAGUGGCGAAGGCGGGUUGCUAGACUGUAACUGACACUGAGGCACGAAAGCGUGGGGAGCAAACAGGAUUAGAUACCCGGGUAGUC
rnacentral:rRNA from 1 species